rnacentral:rRNA from 1 species
AGAGUUUGAUCCUGGCUCAGGAUGAACGCUAGCGGCAGGCUUAAUACAUGCAAGUCGUGGGGCAGCAGGUCCGUAGCAAUACGGAUGCUGGCGACCGGCAAACGGGUGCGUAACACGUACGCAACCUUCCUUCAGGCGGGGAAUAGCCCGGGGAAACCCGGAUUAAUACCCCAUAAUAUCUUGAGAUGGCAUCAUCUUAUUAUUAAAGCUUCGGCACCUGAUGAUGGGCGUGCGGCUGAUUAGGUAGUUGGCGGGGUAACGGCCCACCAAGCCUACGAUCAGUAGCUGAUGUGAGAGCAUGAUCAGCCACACGGGCACUGAGACACGGGCCCGACUCCUACGGGAGGCAGCAGUAAGGAAUAUUGGUCAAUGGACGAAAGUCUGAACCAGCCAUGCCGCGUGGAGGAUGAAGGUCCUCUGGAUUGUAAACUUCUUUUAUUUGGGACGAAAAAGGGAAAUUCUUUUCCACUUGACGGUACCAGAUGAAUAAGCACCGGCUAACUCCGUGCCAGCAGCCGCGGUAAUACGGAGGGUGCAAGCGUUAUCCGGAUUCACUGGGUUUAAAGGGUGCGUAGGCGGAUAGGUAAGU